rnacentral:sRNA from 1 species
CUUUUGCGUGAGGGAUGGAAGCGGCAUCCUUUUAUGGGGCGGACGCAGCAAAGCGGAGACCGCCCCAUAAAAGAUACAGCGGACAGCCCGACCCGAC